rnacentral:sRNA from 1 species
AUUGAACCCCUACGAUCCCUUGAAUGUCCAACUUUUGUCUCUUAUUGAUCACUUACUAUUUACUUGCUUCACUUACUUACAACUGUGACACAAUAACAACCCUUUCCCCCUCUUUUAUUGAUUUGUCCUAGUUUUACUCUCUUCUGACAGACUUGUUUGAAUUACUUCUCUUCCAAUGGAAUUCGAUCCAUAAAUACUAUGUUGGAUACAAACCAAAGGUCCCACAUCGAAAGUUUAGAAAAAGAGUUUCUAAUAUAUAAGCCAAGUCCAACUCCAACUAGUAUGAGGCCUUUUGGGAAGGAACCCAAUAACAAAUCUUUGUGGGCUUGAGCAUAUAAGCCCAAAGAGGACAAUAUCAUACUAAAUGAGAGUUGGAAUGGGCUUUGAAAGCCCAUUAAAUGGUAUCAGAGCCAGGUUGAAACACUGGACCUAGGGCUUGGGCUAUGAUCGAUGUGGGAAAAUCUCUCAAACAUGACACGAUAAGAAGGUGCCUCAAGAAGGAGGUCCAAGUUCGUGGUCUUUGGUUUGAAGGGGAGAUUGUUGGGUACAAACCAAAGGUCCCACAUCGAAAGUUUAGAAAAAGAGUUUCUAAUAUAUAAGCCAAGUCCAACUCCAACUAGUAUGAGACCUUUUGGGAAGGAACCCAAUAACAAAUCCUUGCGGGCUUGAGCAUAUAAGCCCAAAGAGGACAAUAUCAUACUAAAUGAGAGUUGGAAUGGGUUUAGAAAGCCCAUUAUACUACAGACGAUUAACUGUGCACUUCCAGUAGUCGUGUUGUCAAAAUUUGACUA